UACGUAGGGUGCGAGCGUUAAUCGGAAUUACUGGGCGUAAAGCGUGCGCAGGCGGUUCGUUGUGUCGGCGGUGAAAGCCCCGGGCUUAACCUGGGAAUGGCCGUUGAAACUGGCGAACUGGAGUGUGGCAGAGGGGGGCGGAAUUCCCAGUGUAGCGGUGAAAUGCGUAGAUAUUGGGAGGAACACCAGUGGCGAAGGCGGUCCCCUGGGCCGGAACUGACGCUGAGGCGCGAAAGCGUGGGCAGCAAACGGG
rnacentral:rRNA from 1 species